GGAGGGGCCUCCUGUGCCUACUAGUAGGCUCAGAAGGCCGUGAUCAUCCAUCCAAAUGGUUGAUCACCCACCUCUUGCAAAUAUACAAGAGAAGACUCCAGAUCCAAUCCCAGAAUUCCUGCUCCCAGGUAAUCGGAAGUCUACUGGACGAAUGCGGGAACGUUGCGAUAUUUCCUGCUUAAUAUUUUCAGAUAUGGGAAAAGCACUUAAGAUGAGCACACGUUUCAGGAACGUUAAAAUUAAGUUGGUGAGGAGGUCUAUGGUGGGCCCUGCAAGUUUUCUUACCUCAGUCAAGGUCUUCCCCAGCCCAGCUACAAACAGACCCACCCUUCAGACCCUUCUAUUACAUCUCAACCUGCUGAACCUGAUGAUGCGACACAAGCUGUUCUGAGAGUGCAUACAGUAAGGCAAAGAAGAGAGAGCUUCAUGCCUGGGAUGCAGUCAAGGAUGAGAUGCUUAAGGUGUCGUUUGAAUGUUCAGCACCGAUCACUACCCAGUGUGCUGUCUGCCGAGAACAUGCUGAUUAUAGGUGCAUUGAGUGCAGCUCCACUGCAGUGUUCUGUGAGGUUUGCCUGAAGAGGAUUCACAGAAAUUUACUGCAUCUUCCUGAAAAGUGGAAUGUAAGAACAAUAGCAUACAGUCUUACAUUGCUAUUGCUAUACUUGCAUACAGACAGCAAACUCACAAAUGUUUACUAUGAGCCAUCGUCCCUGGGGUUAUUCUUAUAUUUACCUGAAGCCCAUGGCACCCAUGCUGUGUACACAAAGGACAUGAAGGUCAUUGUCAGCACAGGACGGCUCUGCACCGUUACAGUCAACAUGUGUGCGUGUGAACCAGAAACCUGCACUCUGCUAAGGUAUGGGCUCUGAUUAGACAGCCUUCUCCAUCCCUCUGCUAGAGCUUUCUGUUUCUCUGUCACUGGAGUGUCAGGUUUCUGUUGAGGGUUUUUCGCAACACCCCAUAUCCCAUUUUAGGCAUCACCACUUCCGACAAAGAAGUUUGGUUGAUAUUUGCCCACAAUUAAAUGAUGGCACCAUAUGCCCAGCAUGUCCAAAGGCGGAUGGAGAUAUGAUUGUCACAUUGGAUGCCAACUUUGGCCUUGUGAGGAAUCAAAGCUCUGGGACAAGUGCAGUUGAUCCAUUACACGGAACCCACGUGUUUGUUGAUGAAAAGGAUGUAGAGGAAUACCUGCUAUCACAUCUUGACAGCUCAAAGCCUCGAGGUUAAUCAUUGUUGCAGAAUUUCAUUCGAGUCCAUGAAAUAUUAAUUAAACUUGUGAAAAAAGAUCACUAUUCCCCUCAUAAAUCUAUGUUUUCCUUAAAUCUUUAGGACUGCAGUAAGCUGCUCUCAUUCAAGGUAUUAUAAUAUUAUAUAAUAUAAUUACUUUACUGCGUUACUUGUGCAGACAUGUUGUUUUACUAGGUCUGAUCUAUUUUAAAGCUUAGGCACUGUAUUUAAGCAUACAUAUACACCACUAGUCUGUCUGUAUGAGUACAAAAUUAAAAAAUAAACUGUCUAUAAUUGUUACUGUACAAGCACAGUAAAAUAUUUAUAUAAAAAAUAUUGCACUACUGUUAUUUUGCAUAGAAUACAUUGUUCAACAAUAUUUUUGCACAC